rnacentral:ncRNA from 2 species
GCACCGCAUGACAGGUGUUCAAUCGGUCUGCAAUGCUUUGGUUGCCCAAAGUAUUGCAGGCUGAUUGUUCUGAGAUUAUACUGUCAAAACUUGAUCUAGAUAAUACUAGCGAAAGGACAUGCGUGGCUUUGAUA